rnacentral:tRNA from 1 species
CCAAGAGUUUUGAUCUCUUGAGGAUGGGUUCGAGUCCCUUCUCUCUAG